rnacentral:rRNA from 1 species
GGUAUAGACCCGAAACCAGGCGAUCUAUCCAUGAGCAGGUUGAAGGUUGGGUAACACUAACUGGAGGACCGAACCCACUGUCGUUGAAAAGCCAGGGGAUGACUUGUGGAUAGGGGUGAAAGGCUAAUCAAGCCUGGUGAUAGCUGGUUCUCCCCGAAAGCUAUUUAGGUAGCGCCUCGGACGAAUACCAUAGGGGGUAGAGCACUGUUUCGGCUAGGGGGUCAUCCCGACUUACCAAACCGAUGCAAACUCCGAAUACCUAUGAGUACUAUCCGGGAGACAGACUGCGGGUGCUAACGUCCGUAGUCAAGAGGAAAACAAUCCAGACCGCCAGCUAAGGCCCCAAAAUCAUAGUUAAGUGGGAAACGAUGUGGGAAGGCAUAGACAGCUAGGAGGUUGGCUUAGAAGCAGCCACCCUUUAAAGAAAGCGUAAUAGCUCACUAGUCGAGUCGGCCUGCGCGGAAGAUGUAACGGGGCUAAAACUAUGUGCCGAAGCUGCGGAUGUAUACUUUGUAUACGUGGUAGGGGAGCGUUCUGUAAGCCGAUGAAGGUGUGUUGAGAAGCAUGCUGGAGGUAUCAGAAGUGCGAAUGCUGACGUGAGUAACGACAAAACGGGUGAAAAACCCGUUCGCCGAAAGACCAAGGGUUCCAGUCCAACGUUAAUCGGGGCUGGGUGAGUCGACCCCUAAGGCGAGGCCGAAAGGCGUAGUCGAUGGGAAAAUGGUUAAUAUUCCAUUACUUCUGUGUAAUGCGAUGAGAGGACGGAGAAGGCUAAAUCAGCCUGGCGUUGGUUGUCCAGGUGAAAGGAUGUAGGCAUGUAUCUUAGGCAAAUCCGGGGUACUCUAUGCUGAGAUCUGAUAGCAAGCUGUACUUGUACAGCGAAGUGGUUGAUGCCAUGCUUCCAGGAAAAGUCUCUAAGCUUCAGUUACACAGGAAUCGUACCCGAAACCGACACAGGUGGUCAGGUCGAGUAGACCAAGGCGCUUGAGAGAACUCUGCUGAAGGAACUAGGCAAAAUGGUACCGUAACUUCGGGAGAAGGUACGCUGUUGUUGGUGAUGGAACUCGCUUCCUGAGCUGACGACAGCCGCAGAAACCAGGCCGCUGCAACUGUUUAUUAAAAACAUAGCACUCUGCAAACACGAAAGUGGACGUAUAGGGUGUGAUGCCUGCCCGGUGCUGGAAGGUUAAUUGAUGGGGUUAGCGUAAGCGAAGCUCUUGAUCGAAGCCCCAGUAAACGGCGGCCGUAACUAUAACGGUCCUAAGGUAGCGAAAUUCCUUGUCGGGUAAGUUCCGACCUGCACGAAUGGCAUAAUGAUGGCGGCGCUGUCUCCAGCAGAGGCUCAGUGAAAUCGAAAUCGCUGUGAAGAUGCAGUGUACCCGCGGCUAGACGGAAAGACCCCGUGAACCUUUACUGCAGCUUGACACUGAACUUUGACCUUACUUGUGUAGGAUAGGUGGGAGGCUUUGAAGCUGGAACGCUAGUUCCAGUGGAGCCGUCCUUGAAAUACCACCCUGGUAAUGUUGAGGUUCUAACUCUGUCCCGUGAUCCGGGACGAGGACCGUGUCUGGUGGGUAGUUUGACUGGGGCGGUCUCCUCCUAAAGAGUAACGGAGGAGUACGAAGGUGCGCUCAGCGUGGUCGGAAAUCACGCGUAGAGUAUAAAGGCAAAAGCGCGCUUAACUGCGAGACCCACAAGUCGAGCAGGUACGAAAGUAGGUCUUAGUGAUCCGGUGGUUCUGUAUGGAAGGGCCAUCGCUCAACGGAUAAAAGGUACUCUGGGGAUAACAGGCUGAUACCGCCCAAGAGUUCAUAUCGACGGCGGUGUUUGGCACCUCGAUGUCGGCUCAUCUCAUCCUGGGGCUGAAGCAGGUCCCAAGGGUAUGGCUGUUCGCCAUUUAAAGAGGUACGCGAGCUGGGUUUAGAACGUCGUGAGACAGUUCGGUCCCUAUCUACCGUGGGCGCUGGAAAUUUGAGAGGAUCUGCUCCUAGUACGAGAGGACCAGAGUGGACGAACCUCUGGUGUACCGGUUGUGACGCCAGUCGCAUCGCCGGGUAGCUAUGUUCGGAAGGGAUAACCGCUGAAAGCAUCUAAGCGGGAAGCCUACCUCAAGAUAAGAUUUCCCUAGGACUUUAUGUCCUCUAAAGAGCCGUUCGAGACUAGGACGUUGAUAGGUUGGAUGUGGAAGCAUAGUGAUAUGUGAAGCUGACCAAUACUAAUUGCUCGUGAGGCUUGACUAU